rnacentral:misc_RNA from 1 species
UGUUCAAAGUAACUGUAGCAGUGCAACUCUCUCUCUCUCUCUCGAGUAAAGCUAACAUGGAAGGCUACUAACAACCACAGUGACACGCUAUGAGACCAGCUAAGGAAGAAGCCCAGAUCAACAGGGUGUUUGAUUUGUUCAAAGAGUGGGACAAGGGAGACGAAGCUACACGGAAGAAAAUCCUUACUUGUUUUAUCCAACAAAACAAAAACAAAACUGGACCUGAACUGGAAAUGCAGUUUGCUGAAGGGGCCAGUUUGAUGUUGGCUCGUAUCAGUGCAUGGCUCCGUCUUUCAUAUUUGUUUGGGACAGCACUCACAGAACAGCUGGAAAGUAUCAAUAUAUUUUUAUCAGCCUCCUGUGGGCAUCUGUUUAUGACUGAAUUCAUUGAAAUUGGUGGAAUUUUCACUUUGAUUGCAAUCCUCCGCUUAUCCCAACUGUCAAAUAAUCACAAAACCAAUGCCGUAAUCUGCUUACAGAGUAUCUCCAAUGCUGGUCGCAAAUACAAAGAAUUAAUUUGUGAAAGUUACGGUCUGGCUGCCAUUGCUGAAUGCCUGGCAAAGUCACAAAACUCAGAAACCCAAGAAAGCUGUCAGCAAUUGUUGUUGUCCUUAUUUCACGCAAACCCUAAAUAUCAGCUACAACUCUACAAGACGCUCAUUGCCCUACUACCUUGUACCUCUCCUAAGGCUCAACAAAUUGCUGUCAACUCCCUAAGGCUGGUACAGCCUGUCAUAAAUACUACCCUUCCCACGUUAGUGGAACCCUUGCUGACCCUGUUGAAGACAUUACACUUGGAGGUACAGUAUGAAGUCACAAAUUAUAUUAAAGAAUUGAUAGGUUCCAAGCUUACCAAUCAGAUUCUUACAGGUCUUAUCAAUCUUUUGUGUCCAGAGGCCAAGUGGUUGGCCAUACCAGACUCUAUCACAGAUCCGAUGAAGUCGAGUCUAUCAGUGACGACGCCUUCCCAUAUCCACAUCCAACAGGCAGCAUCUGCUAAAACUAUAAGAAUUGUGGUGGAAGAUAAUGACGAGGUUGCAAAGAAAUUGAUUGAUGUAAUUAGGAGUGAUACCAAAGCUACUGAAUGGAGUUGGUAACCCAGGCAGUGCAGAUUGUCAACGACAUUGCUCAUUAGCGCUUCAGUACUUUGCCAAGACAUUUCCAGAAGAAGCAGUAAAGAUCAAAGAUGUCCUCGGAGAUGAACUUUACAAUGUUCUAAUGUCGUCACCUAACAUUCUCUACCAAAAUCUCUGUGUUAGUGAAGUGGAGACACUAGAG